AUUGAACGCUGGCGGCAUGCCUUACACAUGCAAGUCGAACGGUAACAGGUCUUCGGACGCUGACGAGUGGCGAACGGGUGAGUAAUACAUCGGAACGUGCCCAGUCGUGGGGGAUAACUACUCGAAAGAGUGGCUAAUACCGCAUACGAUCUGAGGAUGAAAGCGGGGGACCUUCGGGCCUCGCGCGAUUGGAGCGGCCGAUGGCAGAUUAGGUAGUUGGUGGGAUAAAAGCUUACCAAGCCGACGAUCUGUAGCUGGACUGGGAGGACGACCAGCCACACUGGGACUGAGACACGGCCCAGACUCCUACGGGAGGCAGCAGUGGGGAAUUUUGGACAAUGGGCGAAAGCCUGAUCCAGCAAUGCCGCGUGCAGGAUGAAGGCCUUCGGGUUGUAAACUGCUUUUGUACGGAACGAAAAAGCUUCCCCUAAUACGGGAGGCCCAUGACGGUACCGUAAGAAUAAGCACCGGCUAACUACGUGCCAGCAGCCGCGGUAA
rnacentral:rRNA from 1 species